rnacentral:lncRNA from 1 species
UGUAGGUCUCUUGCUGCCUUUGGUAGCCUCAAAAUCAUCCCUUUUCCCAGAGCUGGCUCUCACCCCUGUUCCAAGAUUCUGAUCCCCAUUCUCUUUCUCUCUCUCUCCCCUCCUUUCCAAGGUAGGAGCACAGGAUGAAGCAUAGCAUGUCGGGCCCUAAAGCCCCAGCUCCUUGCCUCUGUCUCACUCCAGCAGCACAGGAUUUUCCUGUAAGGCACAUUUCCCUGUCCUCUGACAGCCCUCUAAAUUAUUGAUCAGGCCGAUUCAGUGCAAGAGUCUGAAACAUGUGUGAGAGAGAGAAGAUUGUCAAAGUUGUCUAGCUUGGGGAAGCAGUAUUUUUAGUACAGAGGCUCACUUUGGCGCCAGCUGGUUUAUGCUGUUUCCAGAGCAUCAUUCGUUAUACACUUAAUCCAUGCUUAUCAUACCUCCUUUUAAUGUAAAUAUGUGUUUGGCAGAGGCGAAAUGAAAAGAUUUCACUCUCUGCAUUAUUUUUAUUAGCACCCACCUUUCAUCAAAGCUGAUCGCUCUGCAAAAUGGCAAAUUUGUAAACAGCGAGUGAUUUAGAGAAGUUGGAAGGGAAACUAGGAGGGAAAGGAUGAAGGAAGUGUGUGUGCCUGGGGAGAGUGCCUCUCACACAUCUGCGAAGGUUCUCUCUCUCUCCCCCCCUCUCUCUCUGUCAGGAAAAGGAACUAAUUGUGGUUUCCUAAUUUCAAACCAAUCUGCAUCUUCAAUGCUCUCUUUGUGUUUUACCCAAUUACUUAAAAAAAAAUCAGGAUAAUGCAAUGGACAUUUCUUAGUCCAGCAGAAAUGAAUUCACUUAGGAAGAGGCCAGGGAUUUUCUUUUUCCCUCUCAUUUUAUCUGACCCAGAUCUGCAAGAGGCAGGGGCAGAACUCACUUCAGCUUCGGGCACCGGUGACCACUACAAAUCUUUCUUCCUUCACCUUCCUCUUUCCAGAGACAGGAGCCACAGAAAGAAGCUCUGACUUGACUGCUGACUUUUGAGAACACGUGUGAAGGAGACAGGUAGGUCUCAGCCUUUAGCUGUUACUGCCAAGCUCCCCAUGUAUGGAGGAGACUCUUUUGGGGAACCUCAUCUCUCAGACCUUUUGCCCCCAGCCCACCCACCAGAAAUAACAGGCUGGGCUUCUUUGAUGCAGUUACAUUUUGGGUGGUUUGUUUCAGAGCCUUGAGUAACAAACCCAUCAGAGUGGAUACUGGAGGUGUUUCUGGUUUCAGAAAUCCUGAUUUUUCUGGCCUUUUGAUCUAAAUGCUGAUGCCUCAUGCUCUUGAUCCAGUUGGCUGGAGACACUUGUAAGCUGUGUCCUUUCACCUCUAAGAGUUUCAAAUCCCCUGAAUGGAUGAAUAGC